rnacentral:tRNA from 1 species
AUCUAAAUAGCUUAUUUUAGAGUAUAAUAUUGAAGAUAUUAGGGAAGUUAUAUAACUUUUAGAUA